GAUGAACGCUGGCGGCGUGCCUAACACAUGCAAGUCGAGCGAUUUACUUCGGUAAAGAGCGGCGGACGGGUGAGUAACGCGCGGGUAACCUGCCCUGUACACACGGAUAACAUACCGAAAGGUAUGCUACUACGAGAUAAUAUACUUUUAUCGCAGGGUCGAAGUAUCAAAGCUCCGGCGGUACAGGAUGGACCCGCGUCUGAUUAGCUAGUUGGGAAAGUAACGGCGUACGAAGGCGAAGAUCAGUAGCCGACCUGAGAGGGUGAUCGGCCACAUUGGAACUGAGACACGGUCCAAACUCCUACGGGGGGCAGCAGUGGGAAAUAUUGCACAAUGGGCGAAAGUCUGAUGCAGCAACGCCGCGUGAGCGAUGAAGGCCUUCGGGUCGUAAAGCUCUGUCCUCAAGGAAGAUAAUGACGGUACUUGAGGAGGAAGCCCCGGCUAACUACGUGCCAGCAGCCGCGGUAA
rnacentral:rRNA from 1 species